UGUAAAAUAAAAGGCCUAAUAUUUACUAUUCCAACCUUUCAUUUCCUCCGUGAAGAAUGAAAAUAUAUUUGGAUGGAGUAGUCCAAUGGGUAUCAUUUCAAGUUGCAUUUGGAUGAGUUCAAGUCAAUAAAUUUCCCUACAAAAGAAAUCUUAAGGAAAGUUAGAUUUUGCUCCCCGGAAAUUUGCACAGGUUCUUCGCCAACAACUGCAACAAUUUCUAUUAUCUAAUUUCGAUUGGUAAAUAUACUCUUUCGGAAAAUGUUGUGGAUGAAUGAUGCAACGUUUGAGUUGUCUAAAAAAAAGGAAUAAAUCGAUGUGGAGAUAAAGAGAUUUGGAGCAAAAGUUGAAUUAAAGCGGAAGAGAAAUAAAAGAAUUGAGAAGCACACGAAAGGAAUAAAAAAAUGGGAGAUCUUACAAUGUAUUUCUCCACGUAGGACCAACAAAAGAAACAAAUUGGCUCAUGAUUAGUUAAUGAUGACAUGAUAAUUAAAUGAAAGUGUGAAAAAUGACAAUUGAAUGUGAAGAAUUGAAGUUUUAUUACGUGGCAGCGAAUAACACAAGCAAAAGGAAGCAGCAAGGCAGGAAACAUACAUGGCAGCAAUAAAAUUGAAGCACUGGAAAUUUGUCUUGGGGCGACGCCUGCGCCGGGCUUAUUUUCGACUGUUUUUCCUCCUCCGAUUUGAAUUUGAUUUUUUAAAAGCGCAGGCUUUUUAGUACCUUAUAAAUGUAUAUUUUAUAUGGUUUUUACAAAACUUUUGAUCUAGAGAGAUCUUGGAGCCGCCGUGGAGGCCGUAGUUACAGGGUUUUAUCUUCUCUUCUCUGUAAUACUUAUUUUGACGUUUUUAUUCGGAUGUUUUGUUGUUUUUCCUCCCUGUCUAUGUGGAGCUAAACUCUUUAGUUCUAGGAUUUUGGCUCAAACAUGAAAGUUGACUUUUGAUUAUUGUUUCUAUCUAUUAAAUUUUCAUA